CUGGAGUUCUACUGAAUAUUUGGAGUUUAUAACUAAAUAUGGCAACCACAUCCUCUAAGUUGGAAUGUGUUAUGGAGUCCGAACGAUUUAUAAAUGAAGAGGCUCCAAACAACAGUACACCAGAAUCCACAUCUGUAAUUGUGUCAUACCAGUACGUUCCUCCGGAAUGUUUGAAAAACUGUUCUCAUCUCAAUCCAGUGGUCAGCGUUCGAAAAUCCUUAGACAGACUGGUAAAGAAACACCGAAAAAAGAUCAAAAUGUGCUUCCGAAUGUUUCUUAUUUUAGGAUAUUUUGCAUAUUUCAUUGGAGCAAUGAUUUAUCGUUUCGGUGACGAGGGUUCGAUUCGUUUACUUGUUGUAACAACCGUUGUUAUAUCUUGUUAUGCAAUGCAUGUGAUAAAAAAUCAGUGCGGAAGUCGAGUGGAAGCUAUCAUGAACAAUACUAGUAAAAAUCACAACUUUCCGAGUGAAAGAACAAGGCAUAUUUUGAAAAGGAUAUUGACAGUCUACGUCAUCUGCGUCAUCGUCAUUUAUAUCACCACAACAGUCUUUCUGACGGAUCCUUCCCGCCUUAUACCUGUCGCCGGUUUACUCAUUUUCACGUUCGUGCUGUUUUUCUUUUCAAAAGAUCCCGAACAGGUUUCGUGGCGGCCUGUAUUGUGGGGGUUUCUGCUGCAAAUGAUCUUUGCCUUGAUAGUUCUCCGGACCAGCUGGGGCUAUGGUGCAUUUGACUGGCUGGGGAAAAGAGUCACAGAAUUUCUCGAUCAUACAGAUAAUGGCGCCAGAUUUGUGUUUGGGGAUGGUUUUAUGGAACACUUUUUUGCAUUUAAGGUGAUGUCAGUUAUAUUUUUCUUCAGCGCAGUCAUAUCUAUUCUGUACUAUAUUGGAUGGAUGCAAAUUCUGAUAGAAAAGAUGGCCUGGGUAAUGCAGUACAGCUUGGAAACUUCCGCCAUGGAAUCCCUCCACGCCGCCGUCAACGUCUUUGUUGGAUGGGCCGAAACUACGACGAUAAUCAAGCCUCUUUUUGACAAGAUGACCCUCUCGGAACUUCAUACCGUGAUGACGAAUGGAUUUGCAACAGUGGCCGGAAGCACAUUAGUAAUCUACAUCCUUUUUGGGGCUCCCGCCAAUCACUUGAUAUCGGCCAGUGUUAUGUCAGCACCAGCAGCACUCGGAAUAUCCAAGUUAUUUUGGCCGGAAACCAAAGAGAGCAGAAGAGAUACAUCAAACGACGCAUGUGUAAUAAAAAGGGAGGGAAGAAAUAUUAUGGACGCAGCAUCUAUCGGAGCCAUCACUGCCCUUCCGAUUGUGGCCUAUAUUCUAGCCAGUGUCAUCGCCUUUUUCUCCCUCUUGGGAUUUGUUAAUUCUACCUUGGUGUGGCUGGGAGAGAGGAUCGGGCUCAUCCUUCCUGAUUAUCCACCGCUAACCUUUCAGCUCAUAUGCUCUUACCUAUUCUGGCCAUUAGUUUUUCUGAUGGGUGUAGAAUCACGUGACUGUUGUGUUGUCGCACGAAUGGUAGGAAUCAAGACCUUCAUCAAUGAAUUUCUAGCGUACGAAGAUUUGGGAAAGGUAAGGAAAAAUAAUGACGUAUUCGACUCUUACACGGGUCAAUGGACGAUGACGGCCAGCUGUGAUGUAUUUUUGGUGGAUCGAAAUGAAACCCUUAAAGGAGGAGUUCUCACAGUAAGUAUUUCACACGCUGUCUCAUUUUGUUUGUUUUUGCUGUUUGGUUUGUAUGUUGGUUUUGUUAUUUGGUUUGUAUGUUGUUUUGUGGUGAUUUUGUUGUUUGUUUUGUUUAUUGUUUUGAGUUGGUUUGGCUUUUGUUUUGUGUUGGAUUUGGUUUUUUUGGUCUGUAUGUUUUGUAUUGGUUUUGUUGUUUAGUUUGUAUGUCGUUUUGUGUUGAUUUUUAGUGUUUAGUUUGUAUGUUGUUUUGUGUUCGUUUUGUUCUUUUGUUCGUAUGUUGUUUCACCGUGGUUUUGUUGUUUGGUUUGUAUGUUGUUUUGUGUUCGUUUUGUUGUUUGGUUUGUAUGUUUUGUGUUGGUUUUGUUGUUUCGUUUGUAUAUUGUUUUUUGUUGGAUUUGCUGUUUAGUUUGUAUGUUGCUUUACGUAUUAUUCGAGAAUUUCACUCAUAUAGGUAAGCCAUCAUCAGAUUUAGAUACCAAAAAGUUUGGAUCAAUGCAGUCGUGGCCGUAGCAGUGAGGGGCCAAUAUUGUCUCAACGCUUAAAGCGACAUGGGACCUCUGUUUAUAAGGAACAUUCAGUGGUUAUUGCUACGUAUGCCCUUUGUGGAUUUGCCAACCUGACAGCCCUAGGGAUCAUGAUAGGAGCACUCACCGCCAUAGCACCGGACCGGAAAGAAGACAUAGUUCGAGUUUCCUUCCG